rnacentral:rRNA from 1 species
UACAGAGGCCCCAAGCGUUACUGAGAAUCACUGGGUUUAAAGGGUGCGUAGGUGGUCCGUUAAGUUCGUUGUGAAAUCCCUGGGCUCAACCCAGGAAAUGCUUCGAAUACUGGCGGACUUGAGGCUAGUAGAGGUCACUGGAACUGGCGGUGGAGCGGUGAAAUGCGUAGAUAUCGUCAGGAACGCCGAUGGUGAAGACAGGUGACUGGGCUAGUUCUGACACUGAGGCACGAAAGCGUGGGGAGCGAACGGG